UACGGAAGGGUGCAAGCGUUACUCGGAAUUACUGGGCGUAAAGCGUGCGUAGGUGGUGAGUUAAGUCUGUCGUGAAAGCCCCGGGCUCAACCUGGGAAUGGCGAUGGAUACUGGCUCGCUAGAGUGCGGUAGAGGGUGGUGGAAUUCCCGGUGUAGCAGUGAAAUGCGUAGAGAUCGGGAGGAACAUCAGUUGCGAAGGCGGCCACCUGGACCAGCACUGACACUGAGGCACGAAAGCGUGGGGAGCAAACAGG
rnacentral:rRNA from 1 species